UCUGGGAAGCCAGAGCCCUAACUCUGGUCCAGCAACAUCUGGAGGGCCCACAAGUUCCCCAUCCUGGUUGCUGAAGAAGUUAUGGAGCUGUGUCUGAGGAAGCUCUGGCUCAAAUCAAAGGGGGUUGGGAUUAAGGGGAGCUGCCACACAAUUUUACUCGCUGCGGUGCACAUGGGAAGCAAAGAAAUCUUGUCUACCACGCUCAUUAGCAACUGAACACCAGUUGCCAAACCAUGAUUGGCGAGAUCGGCUGGUGCUUGUCAGGAGAGCUGUCCAGCUUUUAUUCUCCUUCUGCUACCAUCUGGAAACUUCAUCUUCAAGGCUUGUUAAGUGACGUGAUUAAGAAGGUCAGCAUUAUCUACAUAGGACUGGGAAACCAGUGGCCCUCCAGAUCUUUGGCCAUGCUGGUGAGGGGUGAGGGGAACUGCAGUCCAACAUCAGUGGUAGAGAAAGGCCAAGCUGCGGUCCCUGCGUCCUGAAGUCAGCACAGCAAUUACAACAUCAUCAAGCGGGGGGGGGGGGGCAUUCAGAAUGCAAUUUAAGUGCAUGCCACAUAAGUGUCAUUGUG